UACGUAGGUGGCAAGCGUUGUCCGGAAUUAUUGGGCGUAAAGCGCGCGCAGGCGGUCCCUUAAGUCUGAUGUGAAAGCCCACGGCUCAACCGUGGAGGGUCAUUGGAAACUGGGGACUUGAGUACAGAAGAGGAAAGCGGAAUUCCACGUGUAGCGGUGAAAUGCGUAGAGAUGUGGAGGAACACCAGUGGCGAAGGCGGCUUUCUGGUCUGUAACUGACGCUGAGGCGCGAAAGCGUGGGGAGCAAACAGG
rnacentral:rRNA from 1 species